CCUAGCCCAGUGUCCGGCUCCAUGGCCUGGAUGCCCGGCUGGCUGCCCUGAUCCUUAUCGGUUCUCUACGCUGUGCGUUCUGCAGUGCCAGCCUUCCCGCCUCAGCCCGUGCCAAGGCAUGGUCCCCAGCAGCACCCUGGCAGGGGGCGAGUUUGAGGACGCCCAUCUGGGAGGCCACUGCUGUCCAGGAGAACAUGGCUCCUUCUGAGGAGGAGGCUACGAAGAGCCCCUUGAGGAAGGGCUAUCGUGAGAGCGAUGAGGACUCUGGGCACGCUGAAGGUGAAACAAAUGUUCUUCAGGAGAAACCCACAGGAGCUCAAGUUUGCUCUGGAUCUGAAAGAAAACAGAGAAAGAGGAAGAAAGCUGAAGAUGUGGCCGGGACUUAAGAGAUGGCGCAGAGGUUAAGAACCCUUCCAGAGACCCGGGUUCAAUUCCCAGCACCCACAUGGUGGCUCCGUACCAUCCAUCCAUCUCCAGUUCCAGGGGAUUCAAUGCCCUCUUCUGGCCUCUGCAGGCAGCAGGCAAGCAAGUGACAAACCAGGCACGCAGGAUCUGAACUGGAAACACCCUGUUAUAAAGGAAGGAAACUAUAAGGCCUCCUUGUGAAGACAAUUGUCAUACCAUUCUGCCCUUCCGGCUCUGCAAGGAGAACAGGCAUCAUCAGGUGGCCUUCCCAAAAGGGAAGACAGUUGUCAAGAGUCCCUUCCACAACUCUGCCGAAGAACUUCAUGCUUGUGGGCCUUCACUCCUGAAGUUUUUGUUUUGUUUUUUUUUCUUCGAGAUUGGGUUUCUCUGUGUAUCAACAGCUCUAGCUGUCCUGGAAUAAACUCUGUUGCCUGGCCUGGCCUUGAACUCACAGAGAUCUGCCUGCCUCUGCCUCCCGAGUGCUGGGAUUAAAGGCGUGCGCCACCACCGCUCAGCUGCACUCCUGAAGUUUUAUGUAGUGGUCAAAAUACAUGCGCUAUUCUGUG